UUUUCUUCCAAAGGUUGAGUCUUGUUGUGGUGAAUUACAGAAUACAACGGAUGCGCCAAUAAUUAUUGAAGUGGAAAUGAAAAAAAAAUCUUAAUUUGCUCAAAGUACAAACAGGGAGCAAUAAAAAUGGCUGACUCCAUGCACGACCCCAUGAUUCGACAGGCCAGCCAGCAACAUGGGAAAAGCCCAGUCAAGGAUCUCACGAUGGGGAAGUGGAGGCCCAAAGAGUUUAAGUAAGACUUGUCCAG